rnacentral:rRNA from 1 species
AGUGAACGCUGGCGGCAGGCCUAAUACAUGCAAGUCGAACGGCAGCACAGCAGAGCUUGCUCUGUGGGUGGCGAGUGGCGGACGGGUGAGGAAUACAUGGGAAUCUGCCCAGUCGUGGGGGAUAACGUAGGGAAACUUACGCUAAUACCGCAUGCGCCCUUCGGGGGAAAGCCGGGGACCUUCGGGCCUGGCGCGAUUGGAUGAGCCCAUGUCGGAUUAGCUAGUUGGCGGGGUAAUGGCCCACCAAGGCGACGAUCCGUAGCUGGUCUGAGAGGAUGAUCAGCCACACUGGAACUGAGACACGGUCCAGACUCCUACGGGAGGCAGCAGUAGGGAAUAUUGGACAAUGGGCGCAAGCCUGAUCCAGCCAUGCCGCGUGAGUGAAGAAGGCCCUCGGGUUGUAAAGCUCUUUUGUCCGGAAGAAAAGCGCCGGGUUAAUACCCUAGUGUCCUGACGGUACCGGAAGAAUAAGCACCGGCUAACUUCGUGCCAGCAGCCGCGGUAA